rnacentral:lncRNA from 1 species
UCGUCCCGGGUUCGAGAGGGUUUGCGACUCGAGGUUGGCAGGGACUCUUCCUGCGCCUCUUUUUGUUACUGUUAGCUUUGAUUCGGAGGUUUAGUUCGUCAGGAUGGGGGAAGAAUUCCGGUGCUUCGUCGGAGGGUUGGCAUGGGCCACUACUGACGGUAGUUUGGAGGAGGCGUUCCGCCCUUUCGGCGAGGUGGUGCAGUGUAAAGUAAUCACCGAUCGAGAGACCGGAAGGUCUCGCGGGUUCGGGUUCGUUACCUUCGCUGAUGAGAACUCCAUGAACGAGGCCAUCAAGGACAUGA